rnacentral:rRNA from 1 species
CAGUGAAACAAUUAAACGGCCGCGGNUACCCUAACCGUGCAAAGGUAGCAUAAUAAUUUGUCUACUAAUUAUAGACCUGCAUGAAAGGCAAAAUGAGGGUCCAACUGUCUCUUAUAGUAAAUCAAUUAAACUGAUCUCCCAGUAAAAAAGCUGGGAUUCUCCCAUAAGACCAGAAGACCCUGUGAAGCUUAAACUAAACUAUUAAACCAAAUAAUAACUACUUUCGGUUGGGGCGACCUUGGAAAAAAAAAGAACUUCCAAACACACGACUUUACCUCGAACUAAGCUCGGGCCUACAAGCCAUCAUAACACGACCCAGCACAGCUGAUAAACGAACCAAGUUACUCCAGGGAUAACAGCGCAAUCUUCUUCAAGAGCCCAUAUCAAAAAGAAGGUUUACGACCUCGAUGUUGGAUCAGGACAUCCUAAUGGCGCAGCCACUAUUAAGGGUUCGUUUGUUCAACGAUUAACAGUCCCACGUGAU